AAUGAUGUGCCUGACUAAAGGGUUAUUUUGAUAGAAUAAAUUAUGUAUUUUUACCAUCAUUA
rnacentral:tRNA from 1 species